rnacentral:ncRNA from 1 species
GAGAAGUCGGCAAAUUGGAUCCGUAACUUCAGAAUAAGGAUUGGCUCUGAGGAGCGGGGCGUGUCGGGCUUAGUUGGGAAGCGAGUCUGGCUGACGUGCCGGGCCUGGGCGAGGUGAACGGUCGGCGUUCUCGCGCUGGUCCCGAGAUCCGAGCUCGGUCCCGUGCCUUGUCCUCCCGCGGAUCUUCCUUGCUGCGAGGCUUCCGUGACGGCGCGAGCCGUCAGAUCGUCCUCCUCGGCCGCCAUUCAACGCUCAGCUCACAACUGGCACGGACUAGAGGAAUCCGACUGUCUAAUUAAAACAAAGCAUUGCGAUGGCUCUCGCGGGUGUUGACGCAAUGUGAUUUCUGUCCAGUGCUCUAAAUGUCAACGUGAAGAAAUUCAAGCAAGCGCGGGUAUACGGCGGAAGUAACUAUGAUUCUCUUGUCAUGGACGGACGUAUGUAAUAUCGCUCCGUGUUC